GAUGAAGAACGUAGCGAAAUGCGACAAGUAAUGUGAAUUGCAGAAUUCAGUGAAUCAUCGAAUCUUUGAACGCACAUUGCGCCCGCCAGUAUUCUGGCGGGCAUGCCUGUCCGAGCGUCAUUUCAACCCUCGAACCCCUCCGGGGGGUCGGCGUUGGGGACCUCGGGAGCCCCUAAGACGGGAUCCCGGCCCCGAAAUACAGUGGCGGUCUCGCCGCAGCCUCUCCUGCGCAGUAGUUUGCACAACUCGCACCGGGAGCGCGGCGCGUCCACGUCCGUAAAACACCCAACUUCUGAAAUGUUGACCUCGGAUCAGGUAGGAAUACCCGCUGAACUUAAGCAUAUCAAUAAGCGGAGGA
rnacentral:misc_RNA from 1 species